AUAGGUCAGAAAUUGUUCAUCCUCAGGAUCGAACUUGAACCUCAUGUGUAGUGCUAGCUAGACAAAGUCAACUCUUCAAUUCUAUUUGACCCAUAACUUAAUUUUCAAUCAAGCUAGCUUAUAUCUUCAAUCAAGUCAAAUACUUUCAAAUUGGACAUAUAAACAUAGAUCAAUUUCUUUCUACUUUGUCUGACUUAUGUGCGUGACUUUAUAGGUUCAAACACUAAAUCGAUAGCACAUGAACUAAUUUAUGCACUAAUCAAGAUACCAUCUAACAAUGGUUCUCAACAUCCAGA
rnacentral:lncRNA from 1 species